rnacentral:rRNA from 1 species
AUACGACGGUGGCAAGCGUUACUCGGAAUGACUAGGCGUAAAGGGCAGGUAGGUGGUUUCGUAAGUCUAUUGUGAAAGCUCCUGGCUCAACUGGGAGAGGUCAAUGGAUACUGCGAGGCUUGAGUAUAGGAGAGGUAUCUGGAAUUCCCGGUGUAGCGGUGAAAUGCGCAGAGAUCGGGAGGAACACCAAUGGCGAAAGCAAGAUACUGGACUAUUACUGACACUCAGCUGCGAAAGCUAGGGGAGCAAACAGGAUUAGAUACCCCGGUAGUCC